UAUAUUUUAGUGUAAAAGCACAAUAAUUUUUGAUAUUAUUAGAUAUAGUUUAAUUCUAUAAAAUAUAA
rnacentral:tRNA from 1 species